rnacentral:lncRNA from 1 species
UAUUAUUUUUCACACAAACUCAAAAUUGCUUAUAAAAUUACAAAUCAAAACAAAUGAAAGCAAAUCCAAAAUUGCCCUAAAUUAAAUCUGAUUAGUUAAAUGUUUGUUGCCCUACAAAUGUCAUUACACCCGACAAAACUUGCUUUGAAGUUGAUAUUUUGGUCAAUCCGGGGGAAAAUGAGCUAUUGCUUUUGGAGCAGUUGUCAUGGAGAUUACCAUCUCCCUGUUGAAUGAUCUAAAAAAGGACUUACAGCUUCUGGUGGCCAUAAUAAUUUAGGAGGUCCUUCGCUCCAGAUUUUCUCAAUAACUUUCCUUUUCGUGGCUGGUAGGAUUGCAACUCCAAGAAUUGCUCUGAAGAGAUAUAUGCAAACAAAAUCAAACUAAAACUAAGCUGUUGGAAGAAAUUUAGAAAACACAAACACCACAACUCAGAGUUAAAGUCAACAGAAACCAAAUGGUAGAAGUUGAAAAAAAUAUAUGGUGAUGAAUCGAGAACUUCAUUAAACUAACAGCAAUAAAAUCUCAUAUAAUCUGUCAAAAACCAAAAAAGAGAGAGGUAAUUUCAAAACCUUGUAACGCUGAGGCGUCGUACAGUUGUAGUAAUAAUAUAUGGUUGAUGCACCUGUUGCUCAAUCAAAUCCUCUGUCUGGCUAAAAAAAUAAAAAUCUAUAAAUACAUUCACGUCCAAUUUAUGAGAAAUCAUGGGAAAGUAAAUGCACUGAUAACGGAAUUAUGAAUAUGAACUUGCCAAAAAGAAAAAGAAAACUUCUUAUAGUGUGCCAAGAACAUCCUCCUACUCCUAGCAAUUUUUAAUGGCAUUGUCCACUUCUCAAUUCAUAAUUCAACCAAUAACUCAAAGUCUAUAGUGUUUGAAAAAGUGAUAUCUUAGUUGAUCACGAUGAUAAUUAAGCAGAUUAAAUGAUGACCCAUAAAGCAUACAAAUUCAGAAAAGAAAAGGUUCAAAACUGUCAUGAGAAAAUACAGAAUAUAUAAACAGGAAAUCAAAAAAAGAGAAGUGAAAAAGGAAGAAACAACCAAACAAAAUUAUUAGGUUUGGGAUAUACCUUUAUCUGAAACGCCACAAUCAUCAAAGUCAAACUUAAACAACAACAACAACAACAACAACAACAAAGCCUUUUCCCACUAAGUGGGAAAGUCAAACUUAAACAAUCCAAAAAUUUGUGGAAAAUACCAAUAAAUGCUCAACUAAAAACGAAAGAAACGUAGAAUAAGUUUACCUGUUCUGCCCCUAAUUAAACUGGAAUACAAUUCACCACUAAUAUUCCUUGGUGUAUGCUUUUCGCAGACGAUAUAGUGUUGAUAGAUGAAACUCAGGAAGGGGUAAAUGCAAAGCUUAACCUUUGGAGAGAAGUGUUGGAAUCUAAAGGUCUUCGCCUAAGCCGAUCAAAGACAGAAUAUAUGGAGUGCAAGUUCAGUGCAAAUGGAGGCCAAAACGAGUUAGGGGUGAGGAUCGGAGAUCAAGAAAUACUAAAGAGCGACCGUUUUCGUUACCUAGGAUCUAUCUUGCAAAAGAACGGAGAAUUAGAUGGAGAUCUCAACCAUAGAAUACAAGCUGGAUGGAUGAAGUGGAAGAGUGCAUCCGGCGUGUUAUGUGACCGCCGUAUGCCACUGAAGCUCAAGGGAAAAUUUUAUAAGGACGGCAAUAAGGCCGGCGAUGCUGUAUGGCACAGAAUGUUGGGCGGUGAAACAUCAAACACGUACACAAAAUGGGUGUAGCGGAGAUGAGGAUGCUUCGUUGGAUGUGUGGGCACACGAGAAAGGAUAAGAUUAGGAAUGAGGAUAUCCGGGGUAAAGUAGGAGUAGCCGAAAUUGAAGGAAAGAUGAGAGAAAAUCGGUUACGGUGGUUUGGACAUGUGCAAAGAAAGGCCUACUGACGCUCCGAUUAGAAGAUGCGACUAUGGGACAGAGGUUCAGGGCCGAAGGGGUAGAGGAAGACCUAGGAAAACUUUGGAAGAGACUCUAAGAAAAGACUUAGAGUACUUGGAUCUAACGAAGGACAUGACACAGGAUCGAGCACAAUGGCGUUCUAAGAUUCAUAUAGCCGAUCCCACUCAGUGACUUGGAUUUUCCAAGUCUCCAACCGAGAAGUUUUCCUCACUCGGAAAAUUAAGGGAACACUACCCCAACCUACAUGCUCCACUCAGAAAGCUUCAACAUACAAGCUUCAACAAAAGAAAAUUCAAAGAACUUAGCGAAGAAGGCUUUGGUGUAUUAACACAAUACGUUGAAAUGAAGGAAAGCUUAUUUAUUGAUAUCCCCGAUAAGCUACAAAUAUGUACAUAUACAUGAGUCAAAAUAAACACACAAGAGGGAGCCUUCACAAAGGUUGCUUAGGAGAAGUCUCAGCAGUCGGUAGAGCCCCAGAAAGAGAAGGCACCGGAGGGGGAUCAUUUGGAGCCUCAGUACUGGACAGAACCCUAGAAGGAGGAGGCAUCAGAGGUUGAUCAUUUGGAGCUUCAUUACGCGGUACAGCCCCAGAAGACGAAGGCAAUAAAUGCCUUUGGAACAAACCCACAAAUCUCUGAUGAUCAAGUAAAACCUGACCAUCAGUUUCCUUCAUCUGGUCAAGCUUCCUCUUCAUGUUUGUAGCAUAGUCAUGUGCGAGCCGGUGCAACUGUUUAUUCUCAUGCUUGAGCCCUCUAAUCUCCUGUUUGAGACUCAUCACUUCAGCCGCCAAUGAUUCAACUUGGCGGGUUCGAGCAAAUAGGCGUUGGGCCAUAUUAGACACAGAACCUGCACACUGAACACUGAGAGCCAGCGAAUCCUUAACAGCUAACUCAUCAGACCGUUUGGAAAGUAGUCUGUUAUCUUUGGGAGUGAGAAGGUUCCUGGCCACCACCGCAGCGGUCAUAUCAUUCUUCAUCACGGAAUCCCCAACGGUAAGAGGACCAGUAGGGGAGACGAAGGAUGGGCGCCAUAUGUUGUCUGGAGAAGGCGGGGCUGCCUCUUCAACAAGGUUCAAGUCAAAACGACGGUCGGAGGGGCCAGACAUUUUCAAAGGUGUUGAAGAGAGAAGAGGUCGGACAAAUCAAGAUCUUAGAAGUGCAAGAAUGAAGCUUCUACUGGUGGAGAUUCAAGUGUGCUUUGGAACUUAAUGCCAGCCCCUAUAAAAAUCUGCACUCGACGGAGCUUCAGAAAAUCGAAGAGGCGCCUGCUCAGAAAUCGAAGAGGCGUUUGCUUUCUCAAAAGCUGGGCUGCUUAGAGAUCACGAGGGUUGAUCUCAGAAAUCGAAGAGGCGUUUGCUUUCUCAAAAGUUGGGCUGCUCAAAGACCACGAAGGCCGAUCUCAGAAAAUCGAAGAGGCGCUCGCUUUCUCAAAAGCUGGGCUCCCCAGAGACCACGAGGGCCGAUCUCAGAAAUCGAAGAGGCACCUACUUUUCCAGCCUUGUCAGCACCUGUCACACGCACACUCAGCUUUGCGGAAAUUAUGGGCAUUCUGUCGAAGACUUCUGGGGAAGUAGAAAACACAUGAAUCUUACUGUUCAAUCACCCACUUCCCACACGCAACAAUAGCUCAUGGGUACCACAGAUAACUUUGCCAAAGUUCUCUGCCAAAGUUGAGCACGUGAAGCUUGCAGCUCCCACUACAUCGCUCUGACCAAGAAGGGUAAAAGAAUAGCAAAGAAACAGCACUAACAAAGUUUAGACCCAUAAAUUUUGAAGGUCUAGCUACCAUAUUAUUACCCACAAGGGUAAAGGAACAGUACCACUGCUGGAUAAUUGGAAAGUCCCUGUGUGUCAACCUCUGUGCUUCGUGGCAAGGUAGACUAGCAAACAUGCCCAACCUUUACUCACAUUCGAGAAAACACUCCCAAUAAGAUUGCUUGCUCCAAAAUCGAAGAGGCACCGUCCUCCGAAUCUCGAGAGCCAGACUCCCAACAUGACUACUUUCUUAAAAAUCGAAGAGAGGGUAAAGGAACAGUACCAUUGCUGGAUAAUUGGAAAGUCCCUGUGUGUCAACCUCUGUGCUUCGUGGCAAGGUAGACUAGCAAACAUGCCCAACCUUUACUCACAUUCGAGAAAACACUCCCAACAAGAUUGCUUGCUCCAAAAUCGAAGAGGCACCCGCCCUCCGAAUCUCGAGAGCCAGACUCCCAACAUGAUUACUUUCUCAAAAAUCGAAGAGACACUGCUCCCCGAAUCUUCGAGAGCCAGACCCCCAGCAUGAUUGCUUUCUCAAAAAUCGAUGAGGCAUCGUUCUCCGAAUCAAUCGAAGAGGCGCUCGCUUUCUCAAAAGCUGGGCUGCUCAGAGACCACGAGGGCCGAUCUCAGAAAUCGAAGAGGCACCUACUUUUCUAGCCUUGUCAGCACCUGUCACACGCACACUCAGCUUUGCAGAAAUUAUGGGCAUUCUGUCGAAGACUUCUGGUGAAGUAGAAAGCACAUGAAUCUUACUGUUCAAUCACCCACUUCCCACACGCAACAAUAGCUCAUGGGUACCACAGAUAACUUUGCCAAAGUUCUCUGCCAAAGUUGAGCACGUGAAGCUUGCAGCUCCCACUACAUCGCUCUGACCAAGAAAGGUAAAAGAAUAGCAAAGAAACAGCACUAACAAAGUUUAGACACAUAAAUUUUUGAAGGUCUAGCUACCAUAUUAUUACCCACAAGGGUAAAGGAACAGUACCACUGCUGGAUAAUUGGAAAGUCCCUGUGUGUCAACCUCUGUGCUUCGUGGCAAGGUAGACUAGCAAACAUGCCCAACCUUUACUCACAUUCGAGAAAACACUCCCAACAAGAUUGCUUGCUCCAAAAUCGAAGAGGCACCGUCCUCCGAAUCUCGAGAGCCAGACUCCCAACAUGACUACUUUCUCAAAAUCGAAGAGAGGGUAAAGGAACAGUACCAUUGCUGGAUAAUUGGAAAGUCCCUGUGUGUCAACCUUUGUGCUUCGUGGCAAGGUAGACUAGCAAACAUGCCCAACCUUUACUCACAUUCGAGACAACACUCCCAACAAGAUUGCUUGCUCCAAAAUCGAAGAGGCACCCGCCCUCCGAAUCUCGAGAGCCAGACUCCCAACAUGAUUACUUUCCUCAAAAAUCGAAGAGACACUGCUCUCCGAAUCUCGAGAGCCAGACCCCCAGCAUGAUUGCUUUCUCAAAAAUCGAAGAGGCAUCGUUCUCCGAAUCUCGAGAGCCAGAUACCACAGACCACUUUUUCAAAGUGCUCUGACAGAGUUAAAACAUGUGAAACUGGCAGCUCCCACUACCGUGCUAUGACCAAGCAGGGUAAAGGAAUAGCAUUACUACUUGUUGUUAGGGAGACUCCUAUAUAUGUCGACCUCCAUCCCCAACGGACAGGCAGACCUGCAAAAAUGCUCAACCCUUCAUCAUAUCUGAGAGGGCACUCCCAACGAAGCCUUUCGAAAUAUUCAGCUUUCUUUCCCCCCGAUAAUACCUCUGCAAACAAGCUAUACUACUAGAGCAAGAAUAUCUCAUAUCAUCAGGGUUAAAAGCAAGAGUAUCCCAUAUCAUGCUUUUUCCCUGUCUUUUCCUUUGGCCUUGUUUUUUACCUGCAAGACAAGGAGAAAGAGAGAGCAAUCAGUCAGCACUUGGAAUCAAGCUUCCAGCCAGGAACUGACUGCCUGGAACCCCUUACCUGAUUACUUACCUGGCAUUGCUCUCGAGUACUCAUCUUCAACAUCUUAUGUUUCCAGGGAAGAUUCCGCAUCUGCUUGAGGAACAGAUAGGGCAAGUGCGAAGGAUACAAGGAAGCAUGUGGAGACAAGCGUAACAGCACACGUGCCGAUACAUCCAUUACUCUGUCAAAAGCAAAAGUAUCCCAUAUCAGCAGGGUGGAACGUACUCUAGAUUUGAUGGACUUGUUUUGACCCUCAAAUUCUUCAGUCGGCCUUAUACUCUGGAGGAAACCAGAAAACCCUCCAGCUCAGUUCAAGAAUAAGCCUGUGGAAAGUUACUUCUUCAAAAGCAAAAGUAUCUCUCAUAUCAUCUCUUCUCAUUUUUUCUUCUCUUUAUCCUUCAUGCUGCUGCAAGAUGGGGAGAAGGUGAACAAUCAGUCGGAGCUCUGAUUGCUUACCUUGUCUGUCACCUCUUUCAGCAGACCCCCUAGCUCGGCGACUUGGGGGACUCCUACUACAUGGUUUGUAUCGCGCUUGACCAAGCCUGAAACUACAAGUAAGCUUCAAGUGAAAUUGAUACAUUACCUUGUGCAUCUCCACCAGUUAAAGAUACCACCCCUGGAUGGAGGAAGAGUACUUCCAGAGAAGAUGCCACAUCUACCUAUGAGACAGAUAAGGCAAGUCAAGACGACACCACACUCCGAUACUUAGAAGUUUCGUGAUUACGAGAUCAUUCUCCCACAAUAUUUCCUAAUGUCAUUUGUACUAAAUCAUUCACUUGUACUCACUAAAGGAGAGCUUGAACCUAUGUACUUGUGUAAACCCUUCACAAUUAAUGAGAACUCUUCUAUUCCGUGGACGUAGCCAAUCUGGGUGAACCACGUACAUCUUGUGUUUGCUUUCCUAUCUCUAUCCAUUUAUAUACUUAUCCACACUAAUGACCGGAGCAAUCUAGCGAAGAUCACAAAAAAGCGACCGUUUUCGCUACCUAGGAUCUAUCUUGCAAGAGAACGGAGAAUUAGAUGGAGAUCUCAACCAUAGAAUACGAGCUGGAUGGAUGAAGUGUAAGAAUGCAUCCGGCGUGUUGUGUGACCGUCGUAGGCCACUGAAGCUCAAGGGAAAAUUUUAUAGGACGGCAAUAAGGCCAGCGAUGUUGUAUGGCACAGAAGAAUGUUGGGUGGUGAAGCAUCAACACGUACACAAAAUGGGUGUAGCGGAGAUGAGGAUGCUUCGUGGGAUGUGUGGGCACACGAGAAAGGAUAAGAUUGGGAAUGAGGAUAUCCGAGGUAAAGUAGGAGUAGCCGAAAUUGUAGGAAAGAUGAGAGAAAAUCGGCUCCGGUGAUUUGGACAUGUGCAAAGAAGGCUGAAUGACGCUCCGGUUCGAAGAUGUGACUACGGGACAGAGGUUCAGGGUUGAAGGGGUAGAGGAAGACCUAGGAAAACUUUGGAAGAGACUAUAAGAAAAGACUUAGAGUACUUGGAUCUAACGGAGGACAUGACACAAAACCGAGCGCAAUGGCGUUCUAGGAUUCAUAUAGCCGACCCCACUUAGUGGGAAAAGGCUUUGUUGUUGUUGUUGUUGUAUUCAAUGAAGAUGCUUAAAGGAGACAGUAAUAUUAGCAAUGAAGGAAUUUAAUUGAUAACUAAAACUGCAAAACAAAAUGACUACAAUAGGUUCAAAACAGAAACUCGUCCGAUAGAUAUCUCAUCUUUAGGCAAUGCCUUGUUCCCUUUUUUUUUUUUUUUUUUUUUUUUUUUUUUUGUUGCAUGUCUUGUGAACUUCAUGUAAAUCAACAAAAUUGAUACCUUAACCAACAAUGGAGAGGUAAAAAGUUAAAAACAGAAGGAAUGUCUUCAGUUUUGUAAUGGAUUUUGCAAGUCAAAUUCUGUUCGAGAAUUUGCAACCCAGAAAGUCCCAGCAAUUAUUAACAAUCACAGAUAAGCACCGAAUGAAGGCCAAUCUAAUAAGCCAAAAUAUGUAGGGCACUAAAGAAAUUAUUGCCCAGUAACAAUGAUAGAUAAGCACAUGUGAAACUAAAGAAAAUUUUCAUUACUAUCAACUCCAAAAAAAAUUACCUAUGCAAUCCAAAAAAUGUUGAUACAGAGUUGGAGUAUCGAUGCCUGAAAUUGGUAUUUGAACCACCAACUACCUCCGUGAAUAUGCUUGUCACUUAAUGGUUUGGGUUGAAGUUGUGAAAGGAAAUGUAAUUUCUUAAAAGGAAGGAGAGAAUGCAGAGAAGAAUACAGAAUGGUUCACGUGGCCACCGCAAAACAGGUUAAUAAUCAAGCUUCACUAUGAAUGGAAAGAUUAAUAGAUGAUAAUUAAGAAGGCCUGAUACCCAAGCCGAAAUCAGAGAUAUCCUUUGUAAACAAAGAGAUUGAACAUUUCCUCUCAAAAAAUAACUUUUUUUUUUGUUUUGGGGGGGAGGUUGGGAAGGCUCAGAAAAAGACAUCCAAUAUAAUACUUAUUGCAUGCAAGGUAUGAAACAGCCUCCCCCCGAGUAAAAUCACAGAAAUAAAAGAAAUCGAAUCAAGAAAAAAGAUAAUUACACAAGAAUUACACCUUCACUAAGAAAAUAAAUUAUAAAAACGAAGACUCUGAGAAUAAUUGCCUGUGAUUUGCUGCCAAAAACAAAAAUAAUGUCGUAUACAUUAAGCCUGCCGAUUACUAAAAACAAAACAUUUUUCCAUGAGAAGAAGUAAGAACAUACCGAAACUUGUUUGCUAAUAGAUGAGAAAAAUUUAUAACUGAAACAUAUAGGAAAUUUAUUAGGAAAAGAUAAACAAAACACCUAAAUUAAGCAAUUAAAUGGAGUAUUACUUGAUAGAGCUGGAAAAUUACCCAGUUCCUCAGAGAGAGGAUCAAGAGUGAAUGAUGAGAGUGCAGAGAAACGAAUGAUUGAGAAAUUCAAGCUCUGAGCUCACAGUUGGGGCUUCCACUUUCCAACUGGGGAAGAAAUAACAGAGAAAACACAAGGCCAAUCCACCAAAAAUAUUAAUCAAAUGGGUUUCUUCUAAUUCAAAAUUUUGACCACCCAAAUUCCGAUGAAGCAAUAAUUGUUCAAAAUUCCAACAGAUUGAAGGAAAAAGUAAUAAAUUUUUUUAAAACAGUAAUAAUGAAGGAAAAAGAAAUUAAAGCUGCGAGCCAUUCUCUAAAUCUCAGGCACCAAUCCAAAUCACCAGUAAUUUGCACAUAAUGAUAAGAAUCUAGCAAUACUUCCAUUGUUUAAAACCCAAAUUCCAGAAAUCAUGAAAAAUGGAAACUUUAUAUGGAAAUUGAAGCUUUACCUGCAGAUCAGCAGCAGCAAACGAAAUUCAAGAAGUCACGAUUAUCGACGCGUGGGUAGCAUUCCACUGUGCCAAGGACGAAAAUGAACGGGGAAUGUAGAGCUGGCUGACGAAGACAGGAUUCGCGAAGCGCUCUGAUUUUUUUUUUCACGAGAAUGCGGAAUGAAGAGAAGCGAGUAGAGGAGGAAUCAUUUUAAGCGAUGAUCGACGCGUGGAAAUUGAGGGCAAAUCUGCCAUUUUGCUGUGAACGAAAGUGAAAAAAGGCACAAUCAAAGAGUAAUUUGAGGGCAUUCUAGCCACUUUAAUAAACAGUAGCUUUGUGUUUGAGAUUUAAUAUAGGUAUAUAUAGAGCCCUACAGAGCAACUCCACCCAUGGAGCCCUCCUCUCUGACAAUCUACUAUUGAAUUCACCUUUUUGAACAGUAACUGCCUUUAAUAAAUAGUAACUACCAUUAAUGAACAAUAAUUGUCAUUUGCAUCUCCACCCUUGGAGCCCUCCCCCCUGGCAAUAGGCAAUAAAAUAUUAAUUUUUUUUGUUUGUUUAAAUAAUACAAAAUAAAAUUAUUUGUAAUUUUGGAUAAGAUUUUUUAAAUCGUUCUCGUUGCGCCACGUGUCAUUUUAUAAAAAAAACAAUUAUUUAGCGAUGGAUUUCGAUAAGAUUUUUAUCCAAUGUCAUCGUGUCACAUGUCGUUAUCUUUUGAUAAUCUUUGACGAUAUCUUUCGAUCAGAUUUUAACUCGUUCAAAAUUGCGUCACGUGUCAUUAUUCGAAAAGAUAAUUAUUGGAGAUCGAUUUCGAUAAGAUUUUUAUCCAAUACGAUCUUGUCACGUUUCAUUAUCUUUCAUAAUAUUUGAGGAUAGAUUUCGAUCAGAUUUUUAACGAAUGACGGCAUGCCACGUGGCCUUAUCUACAAUCCAAUCCUUUCUGAAUCAUCCAUAUAAUCCACCAUCCAUCCUCACAAAUCUCACACCAAAUUUCUCAACAUUUCUAUCUCAUUAUUCAUAGUUUCUGCUUCUUCUUCACCAUCCAUCAUUACAAUGUCUUCUUCUUCAUCAAGGAUGAUGUGGGAAAUCGAUCAGCAAGAGGAAGAAUUGUUUAACCAAUCUGAAGGAAUGUUCAACCUUCAGAUAGCCGAAAAUGAGAUGGAUGAGGAUGAGGAGCGUAGAAGGAGAGACGACGAAACAAGAAUGGCCAGAGCCUCACAUUCCCGUUGAGUCAUCCAGACUGUUGCUCAGAUAUGCAUGCCCAACCGUUCAAGAAACCUUGGUAGAAGCAGGCAACGAUGGGGUGAAGAGCUAUUGGACGAUUACUUUGUCCAUAACAGUGCAUUUCCUGAUACGUACUUCAGACGUCGUUUUAGAAUGGAACGACAUUUGUUCAACAGAAUCAUGACUGAUGUUUACAACCAUGAUUCUUACUUUGUGCAAAAGAAUGAUGCUUGUGGUGUUAUGGGUUUCCUGCCUGAGCAAAAAAUCACUGUUGCGUUGCGGAUGCUUGCGUAUGGAGCAUCUGUAGACCAAGUGGAUGAGAUAACGAGGAUGGGGAAAUCAACCAUUCUUGAGGCCCUUAUGAGGUUUUGCGGAGCAGUCGAAUCUUUGUACACCGCAUAGUACCUCCGAAAACCUACUUGUAGGGACUUGCAAAGGCUUCUGAAGAAGGGCGAGAUGCGAGGUUUUCCUGGGAUGAUAGGAAGCAUCAAUUGUAUGCACUGGACGUGGAAAAAUUGUCCAAGUGCAUGGCAAGGCGCAUAUGGGGACAUAAAAGGAUCAAAAACUAUCAUUUUGGAGGCAGUGGCAUCUUUUGAUACAUGGAUAUGGCACGCCUUUUUCGGGGUUCCGGGGGCUCAAAAUGAUCUCAACGUCCUUGCCCAAUCCCCAGCGUUCAACGACAUCCUGCAAGGAAAGGCACCAAAAGUCACGUACAUCGUCAACGGACGUAGGUACGACGGGCCAUACUAUCUAGCUGACGGCAUUUACCCACGGUGGGAAACAUUUGUCAAAACAGUGCCACGUCCGCGAAGUGCAAAGGAAAAACACUUUGCAAGCUGUCAAAAGGGGUGCAGGAAGGAUGUGGAGCGUUGUUUUGGUAUCCUUCAAGCUCGUUGGGCGAUCGUCAGGGGUGCUGCCAGAAUGUUCGAUGUAGAGUCACUUUGAUCCAUCAUGAUGACAUGCGUCAUUCUUCACAAUAUGAUUGUGGAAGAUGAGUUCGAUUAUGAUGCGGUUGAUGAAUAUGAGCCAGAGCCAGACACGAUGAACAAUUCAAGAACACGGAUAUAUUGUGCGCAUGAUGCCACCAAAGAACCCGUGCAACAUGAGCCAUUAGAAAGGGAUGAACGUUACAAUGAAAUGGUCAUUCAACGAUAUACUGCACUUCAAAUGUCAUCUAUGCACAAUGAUCGGCAAAUUGACUUGAUAGAGCACCAGUGGACAUUAAAACAAGCUGAAGAUACUUAAGUUUAUUUAGUAUGUUUGUUUGUAUUUGGUAUGUUUAUGUAAUUUUAUUUGGUGUGUUUUUUGUAGUGAGUUUUUUAUUAUUUCGUAUGUUUAUGUAAUUUUAUUUGGUGUGUUUAUGUAAUUCCAAUUGGUAAGAAAAUAUGAAAUUGUGGUGUAAGGUAGAUGGAGAAGAAGUGGUAUUUAUAGAAAAGUAAAAACAAUUUUUUACAAAUUUUUUUUUUUAGAUUUUUUACAAUUUUUUCGGAUUUUUUCCAUUUUUUUUAAUUUUUUUUUCAAAUAAUUAAUCUCUGCCGUUGGAUUUAAAAAAAAUUGAAUUCCAACACUCCAGAUUGUGCCACGUGUCACAACGGUAAUUUUUCUUAAUUUUAAAACUAUUUUUUCUUUAUUUAUAAAGCAUAUUAAUAUCGACCGUUGAUCUGAAAUCGAACGGUUGAUAUUAAAUAAGAUUUGUUUUAUUUUUUUUACCGUUGAGAUCCAACAGUCCAAAUGAAAGAGCCGUUGAGAUCGAACGGACCGUGGGAAACCACGUGGCUUCCCAAUGGUAACUGAGACAACUGCAAAAGUGGGCUGCUUUUCUGAAAAGCUGUCAGGCGACGCGCCCCCACGCGCGAGUGGGGUGCACGCGCCUGACAAAAAAAAAAAAAAUGGGUGAAGAGCUCGGGCUCACGGCUGUCACAAAUUGACAGGCCUUCUGCUCGGGCCUUCUCCACGAGCUCGGGCUCUUCAAGACUGGAGCUGAUUGACUAGCCCUCGGGCCUUUCUUUUCCCCUGUCCCCCGGCCUACAUGCAUGGGUGGAGUUGCUCUAAGAGAAGGGAUUUCCAUUCUUGUUUUUUUAAAUGUGGACACCUUUUUUACUGUUAGAUUUGACUUUAACGAAAUUUUGUGGUUGAGAUUAAAUCACAAACCACAGAAUCUCAACCAUAGAAUUUCAUUAAAGCUAUAUUUAACGAUCAAUAGGGUGUUCCCAUUUUUUUUGAAAAAUAGGAAUCCCUUCCCUUAAGGCUUUCAGUAUAUUAUAUACACUAAAACUCAAUUGAUGAACACUGUUCAUUAACAGUGAUUUUACGUUUUAGCCCCUGUUUUGCUGUUUGUUUGCCCUUUUAUUUUUCGAUCUUAACAGUAAAAUGACAGUUUUGCCCGUUCUUUCCACGCGUCAGUCAUCGUUGAGCUCUUCACUUCAAGAGUCUUCUUUUAGGUUUAGCCUUUUCUUUGCACUGGUGAUUCUCUGAUUUCGUCUCUUCGUCUCGCCCUCUGUUUUUUCUCAAAUCCUCCAUUCCUCUCAAAUAUUCCGUUCUUUAUUUCACAAAAUAUUCAGGAGAAAGUUCCUGAUUUUCGUGUUUUAAGGGAUAUAAUGAUUUGGUGUUGUUUAUCUCAAACAGCGGGCUUGCAGGUAAAAUGUUAAGCUUUAUGUCCAAAGCAAUCUUUCUCUGCAUGCUGACUGUGUGUUGAUUUGAAGGGGUGGUUUAGUGAAUGGGUGCUUCUUAUUUUUGGCCUUUCUCUAUUAUCAUAUAUGUUUCUCUAUUCUCAGGUAUCAGAUCAUUCGAAACAAAAACAUUUUAACGUUAUUUUUGCAGGUUAAUGUUGGGUUUGAGUCCAACACGAUAUACACUUGAACAGAGUAGAGUAGAAGACAGUAUGCAAACAUGAUUUAGGACACAGUUUACCUAAUUGUAAACACUCUGUGAAAUAUUAUUAGUUAUGAACAUCCAAUUUGAAUCCCCCACAUGCUAAAUUAGGUACCAUUAAAUUAGUUUUAUGUCUUUUUUUUAUUUGAAAGCUGCUUCUUAUUUCUGUCUCUAUUAAGAUUCUGGGGUGUGCUUUGGAUUUGCUACAUAUGGUCAUAUUUUUUGUCAUUGGCUUUUUGUUCUGCUUAGUUUUUUUUAAUCGAGUGUUUUAUCUGGUAUUUCAUUUUGUUUUGUUUAUUUGUUUCCUUUUUAUGUUUAAAUGUUUUUUGUUCUUUCUAAAUUUGGGCUUCUGGGAAAUUCUUGCUCACUGUUUGGAUUCCGAGAAAAUUUAGGGGAUGUCCAGUAAUAUUCACAUCCUGAAAACUCAGUGAAAAUAGAUACCAAUUUAUGUGCAGCUGAAAAUUUUGUUAUCUGAUUCUGUUCUAAAUAACAUGAUUUAUUUGUUUUUUAAACUUUUAAUUAUUUCGUAUUUAUUUUGUGAUUGCAGAUGUUUAAAUGAUGGAGAGUUUCGCAAAGCUGUUACUCGGAGGAGACAUGUCUAGAUGAGGGAAAGGUGUCUCCACUGCCCUUGCUAUCUCAAAUGCCAUCACCAAUCUCUCUGGUUAGUCACAUUCCUCUUGGAAUAUGCAUAUUCUUAUGUGAUGUUGGCUGAUACCUUGGUGAGUCAACUUAAUAAAAAAUGUGAGAUGGACAAAUUGAAAAGUCUAUUUUCUUCUCAUAUGCAUCCUUUAACAUAUGUCAGUUUUAAUUAUUGAUGAGCAAUUGAAAAUUUAGUUUUUCUUCUCAUGGUACACUUACAUUGGUAGUUCAACAUAUGUUUGUUUAACAUAUCUUAUUAAAUGCAUUUGAGAAUCGAUUGAAGAAACUCAGUUCUUUUAGCAAUUAAGAACAAGGUAAACAUAGUUGUAAAUAUGUGUAAAUAAGAUAGGAAUUUUGAUGAAUUUAUGUUUUUUCCUCCGUUUUUCAGUGUUUUCAGGCAUUGAAGCUAAAUAUGGAGAGGGUUUUGAGACUUUUAGACCUAUUGGACCUCUCAAGGUUUGCGUGGUAAGGAGUUUAUGGAGUUAUACGCAUAGUAGGCAUUAUAUUUUAUGUUCUGUUGAAUUUAAUUUAAUGGUUAUAUUUUAUGCUCCUAUGAGUUAUUACUGUUAUGUUUACUCUGAGUAGGAUUUGUUGAACGACAAACUGCAAGGAGGUUUUCUUAAACGAAUAUGAUAUGCUAUGAAACCGAAUGAAGCUUACUGUCUUCUAUUCUCUUUUGUUAAUUUCGUGGUAAGUUUCUAUAACACUGAUUAGUUAUGUCUUCGAGGUUCUAAUGGCUAGAUAUGCUAAUGUAAUGAACUAUGGAAUAUUGUAAUAGUUUAUGGUCAAUGUGAUCCCAUAUCUGUUUGAUUGAAAUAUUGUUCUAUAACAGGUUUAAACUUUGUUUUUCCAAUACCUUAUCACAAAAUAAUUCCACCUUGGACAAAUUACAAGGUAUGCUGCAACAUGUGCUUUGAUUAAUUGCAUUCAAAUUGAUACUGCUUAAGAAUGCAUUUGAACAUGUUGAAUUUCACGCCCGCAGCAUCGCGCGGGCAAUAUUGCUAGUAUAAUAUAUAAUUGGGUGAUAAAGAGAGUAGGUGAAAGAACACAAUUUGCUCUUAAAAAUGUUGUUUUUAAGAACGAGUGAUUUUUCUUUUCUGACUCUUUCUGUCUAACCCAAAAGCAUACUGGUAAUAGGGUCCAGUAAGAAAAUUAUUUUUAGAAAUUAAACAUGAAAAAAUACAAAAUUUACAAUUUCGAAUUAUACAAAAAAGACAAAAAAAGCGCAAAAUAAAAAGAGCAGGACAGAAAAACAGAAACAAAAGAAAGGAGACACUAAGAAUACAAAUAGCGUGAUUUGAGCCCUCAAUUUUGGCAGGCAACAUGAUUGUUAACGCAUGAUUGUGAACCCAUCCAUUGAAGAAAGAAGCAUCAUAAUACACAAGAGUCAAGACUGGGCUUGGUUUAUAUAAUGAAUAAUGUUAGGGAGAUCAAAUUUUUUAAACUAAAUUUGUAAAUUAAAUGAUGUAGUUAUAGAUGAUUGGGUUAUUACUAAGUGUCGAUUAAUAUGUUUAUUUCUUAUUGGUGACAUAUCAUUUGGUUUAAAAAUUUGGUCUCCCUAGCAUUAUCCUUAUAUAAUUAAUCAAUAAUAUUCCAUAACAAGAGCUAGGUCCAUAUAUUACGAGGUUAUAAAAUAUGCUAGGUGCUAGUCGAGAGGCGGGCGGGGCCUAAGCAGAUUUAAGUAAAUUUAUUAUAUAUUGUAUAAAUAAAUGCCUUUUUAUACUUAAAAUGACACACAAUUGUAUCGAAAUAUAUAAAUUGCAAAAUAAAAUGACAUAUAGAUUAUAAAUUACUAGAACAUAAUGAACAAUCAUAUAAUGAGGGUUUAUCCAAAUAUUUAUUGGAAAACAAAAAACAAAAUGAGUGUUAUCGAUUUUCUGUCUAAAUGAAAGUUGCGGGCUAGGCAGGUUUAAGUGGGUUAGGCGGACGCCUAAGCAAGUCUAGAGCACUUUCUUAAUUUUUAAAUGAUUAGGGACUAAUUAGGGUGGUGGACAACUGCCUAGCGCUAGACAUGGGUUUUUAGAACAGUAAUUACUUGUUCUCAUAGAUCUCUGGGUUCAAGAAAAUUAUGAUCACCUAUUGUUCGAUCUUAAUACCGUCGGUAAGCGGUUAUUUAACCAUUUUUUAUAUUGAGUAAUUUUCCUGGAUCCUGAAAUCUAGAAGAACAAAACUCUUAUGUCACAUGGAUAAACAUAAUCAGGCAUAAGAAAAAGGUUGAAGAAUUCAUAAGUCAUAUAGGGGGCGUUUGUUUGCCCUCACUAAGUAUCACUGGACUAACUAUUAGUCCAGUCCCGUGUUUCUUCUGUAGAGGGAUUAUGUUUCAUGAGACUAAAGGGGAGUCACACGGACAAACUCCUUCACUAGGAGUUCUUAGCGAGAUCCCCCAAUGCCCAUGGGAUUGCUAAGACCUCGUAUACUCCAUCUUUGUAUGCUAUGUCUCAUCCUCUCUAUGCUCUCUAUUAUCUUGAGCACCAUCACACCACAACUCACCAACUCCAGUGAGAUCACACCACCAACCCACCACCACUUUCUCCCUCUCUCUUCACAUGAACCCAAAAUUUCGAACUGAGGAAGAUCCCGUUCUUACAGUAAUUCGUCCAGCUCUAGCUGUCUGCUUCGCUUCGCUGCACUUCAAACUCGACCUUGGACUCGUCUGAUUCGCUUUGAACUCGACCUCGUAUUUGUCGACUUUACGCAAUUGACGAGAUCUUGUGAACUUGAUGAUGGGUGAGCCACCCAGUGCACUUGAAGGAAUAUGGGAGGCCAAGAACGCCAAAGCCUACGACGGCAAUGAAGACGUUGGCUGGAUUGGGAUGACAGCGACGUGUUCCACAUCAAGGGCAGCGGCUUGGGAUUCUUGUUUUCAUUUGGUUUUGAUUUAAAUUAGGUUUUGAUUUCGAAUUGGGUUUGAUGUGAUCUGGUAUUGGCAUUUGAUUUGCUCUGUAAUUGUUUGAAUGUGUGGAAUAAAUUUUGGGGAAAGAGGAAGAAAAUUUAGAAAAAGAAAAAUAGACUAAAUAAUAAAAUAUUAAUAUAUAUUAGAUUAAAUAAUAUCAUAUUAGAAUUUAUUAUUAUCCUACUUCUUGGUCCGACACUGCACCAAACGCUUUACUAAGCUAAUCCAACUUAGUCUAGUCUAAGUCAAUCCAGCUUAGUUCCUGAAGUUAGUCUAGUCCAAGACAAUCCGGUGCAACAAACACAUUCAUAGAGUAAUUAUAGGGAUACUAAAUUUGUAAAUAAAAUUUUGUAAACUAAAUGACAUGGAAGUUGAUCGUUGAAUUAUUACUUAAACGUUAAUAAAUGUACUCAUUAUCACUAAAGACACGUUAUUUAAUUUGUAAAUUUUAUUUAUAAAUCUAAAGCAUUACCCAAACUCAUAAUACAAAUAGCUACUUUGAGAGAAGAAAAGAUGGAGAGUGAUAUGAUUGCAUUCUUUUUUAAAGCAACUUCUGAAGAUUCCAUAAUAAACUAUUAUUAUAUAUGAAGAUGUGCCGUGGUAAAAGAGAGGAAAAAAUGAAUGGAAAGUUUAUCCAAAAGAUUCUUGACCGUGAUUACAACUAUUUAACUUUUGUAAAUUUUCAUGGACCGAGAUCCAAGAAAAGAUGGAGAGUGAGAUUGGCAUUCUUUUUUGUAAAGGGAUUUUUUUUCCGAUCCCUUCCAUCUAAUUCACCUGAGUCAACCAUUUGAGUUCUUGAAAUUUAUUUAAACAACUAAAAUUAUUAUAACUUUUAAUGAAGCCCCUAUUUGUAGUCGUUAAAUCAAAUUUUAAAGAUUCGAAUUAGUGAAUUAGGUGGAUUAGGUGGAAGGGAUCCGAAGAAUAUCAAUUUCCUUCUUUUUCAACACAACUUUUGUUGAGUCCAUAAUAAACUAUUAUAUGAAGAAAGAAUACUAAAAAGACUCUCUCAAAAUCGAAACUUUUUGCGAACUUUUUAGCAUCUCAUGUUUUUGAGAUUAAUAACUAACAUUAUCUGAGAUUUAUUAAGUUUUCACAAAAUUCCCUUACGUAUGAGAUAUUACGCUAACAACACUUUAGUGUAAUGUCUCAAACGUAAUGGGACCUUGUAAAAUUUGAUUAACUUCGACAGUAUUAGUAUAUUUUUAUGUAAAUAUUAUAAAAUAUUAUGUUAAAUACAUUAAAUAACAGAUAGUCUUUAAGAGAGAUUUCUUACAUCUUUCUAAUGGAUACGGACGGUGGAAAAAGAUCAUUCCAUAAUUAAAUAUUGUGCUGUUGAUUACGCGUCUCUCCAUUUGACUAAGUUCCUUUUCACAUUCUUCCCUAAAUAAAAUGGUUCACUUUUCACAUUAUUACAAUAUUUAUAUUUAUAUUUUUACAAAAGGGAUUCGUCUAAAUUAAAUUUUUCGAAAAAUUUCGUAUAGUGAGUGAAAGUGAAACACUCCCUUUGUUAUGAUUAUGACAAUAUUUAUAUUUUUACAAAAGGGAUUUAUCUAAAUUAAAAUUUUCAAAAUUCCGAACAAGAUUUGAACUUUCGUGUAUAUGAAUAUAUGGAGUAAAUUGAUCAUGGCUGAAAAUAUGGCAGUGGUUGUGUUUGUGUUGCCUAACGGAUGAUAUUGAAAUACCUAAACACAAGUCAAGCUCCUUCAGUUAACAAAAACAGAAGUUUAUAAUAUGAUAAUGUUGGCGCACGGACUUGAGAAACAACAUAGGCCGGGAAUGUGCACAAAAAGUAAGAGAGAGGUAAAGAGGAAAGAAACGAACAUGAAAGAACAAAGACUAUCGAAUACAUUAUAAAACAAUGACUUCUUGGUAGUCAUUACAUCUCAACCAUCAAUAAUGCAUUAAUUUUGGUUGAAAUGUAGAAGUAUUUGAGAAGUAGCAUGACAACAACCACAUAAUAAACAAAAGUGGACGCAAAUGUGAAAGGAUAAUUAAAAACAAUUAUUCAAGAUGGGCGGUAGUUGAUUCAGCCAUUUAGAAGAUUCAAACCUAGAAUCAUUAUUGUAUUAACUAUUAACAGGUGCUAUAAUAUAGUUCUUAGGGAUUUCAAGGAGGCAUAUGGGGGACUACAUAAUGUGCAAUAGGAUUAAACUUUUUUUGUUACUAGGCAAAUGAACCAUAUUGAAAAAAGUUGAGGUUUAACCAUAAAAUUAAUUGACGAUAUAAAAAGUAGCUCAACCUCUUAUAAGCGUUUGCAAGAUUUCUCUUUUGACCUAUACAAGACUCUUUUACUUUCACAUCCUCGAACAUAUAAUACACCCAAAUGGAUGCCAAUAUAUAAACAUUGUUUUGAAAGGACAAGGGAGCUAACAGUGUCUUUUUAUAUGACUUGGACUUGGAGUACGGGCUGCAAAUUGCAUGCAAUUGCAACGAGAGCCAAAGAUAAUUGCCUUGUCCUUCAAAUUUGUUGGUAAAUUGGGGAUUGCACGAAGAUUUUCGCACUAAUCUGAAUACAGUGUUUCAAGCUUUUAAAGACCACUGAAGCUUUGAAAACUCUGUUGAUUUUACUUCCCAAGUAAGUGACAUAAAACUAAAUUGGGCAGUUGCAUGACAACAACCACUUAAUAAUCAAAAGUGAUUCGAAAAAGACCGAAAGUGAGAUGACCGCAUUCUUUUUCAGACAACUUUGGUAGAUUCCAGAAUAAACUAUUAUACAUGAAGAUGGGCGGUGGUAAUUGUCCUUUUGAUUAAAGUUUUUUGAGUCGAAAAUCAUUUUUCUAUAAUUAAUUCUUAACUAGAAAUUUGUACCAGUACACCGUUGUGGGACUGAAAAUCUUAUGAAAUAUUUUAUAACUUUAAUUUUCAUAAAUAAUGUGCGAGUGAAAAACAAAAAAUUACGAAUGGUAAUGCAAUUUAUAUGUAACCUUAUCAUGAACGGAACAAAUUUAGAUACUAAAAGAAAAAUUAAAAAUCUAUUUUUUCAAAGUGCGAAGAGAUAAUUGUUUAUUAAAAAAGUUGGACCAAUGAUAACUGCAUAAAUUACAAAUGCAAUAUUAAGAGUAUACCAGUCAAACUAAGCUUGCUACAGGCUAAACAAUGUUGAAAAACAUCAUUAGCUUUUUCAAGUGUUAUAUGCAAUGAAUGUAAUUAGCACGAAACUAGCACGAAACUGCAGAGGCUUUCGAUCCAUUAUAAUAUAAAAUAAAUAAUAAUAUUUACGUAUAAAAUAUGAUAUGAUUAUAUGAAAGUAACGACCCAAAUCUUAUUGGAGCUAAUUAACUAAUGUAUGCUCAUCAGGCAGCUGGAUUCCUUGGCAAGUGUUUAACCCCUACUUUCUUCACGCUCACAGAAUCACCAUUUGCAAAGUCAAUCGGCCUCACACCAAUAAAAACUUAAUCCCCGGCUAGUAAACUGAUCAGCUUAUCGUCCGAUAUAUGUCACUGCAAAGAUAAUCACCUUGUCUUUCAAAUUUGUUGGUAAAUUGGGGAUUGCGAGAAGAUUUUCGCACUAAUCCAAAUAUAUUGUUUCGAGCUUUGAAUGACCACUGAAGCUUUGAAAAGUCUGAUGGUUUUGUUAGGUCAUGUGUAUGACUAACGUUAAUGAUUUUCAACUUCCCAAGCAACUGUUACACAACUAAAUUUAAAAUCCAAGAGGAGGAUAUGAUCAGAGAAGAAAGAAAUGCAAUCCACUAAUAAUCAACAUCGAUAUUGUCUUCAACUUAAUCAUGAAUAAGUUUUAAGGCACAAAAGACCUCAUGCUUUUGUAGUUGAGCCAUUUAAUGUAAGGAGAAUCACAAUGUUAGUUAACCACAUCACAGUACAAAAGCACUAAAAGCGUCCAAGUGAAAGUGAAAGUGCUUUCUUCUCAUGUAGUUUCAUUUAACUUAAUUUUCCACAAUGGUAAUUAUGUUUCAAUGGUUCUGUUUUCACAUGCCAGUCGGUCAGUCACAUACUCAACUCCUUAAUGUUCGGGCUCAAUGGCUCGAAGAGAGCUUCCACUUCACUCUGAUUCACCUCCUCUAACUUUGACGGAUUCCACUUCGGAUUCUGCAUUGACAAGAAACAGAAGCCAGAGAUAAAGAUUCGUUGAUAUACGGAAAGUAAGAUGAUUAUACAACCGUAGGUCUAGUAGAGGCUGUAAUGGUUUAUGUUGCAGCAACUGCGUCAGCAAGUGAUUUUAUAGCAAGGAAUCUUGAGCAUAAUUAACGAACCUGAUCCUUGUCCACCAAAACUGCCGUACACCUUCAGCAAAAUCAUUCCGUAAAGACGAUCUUAUAGCAACGUGAUAUUCAGUUUCAUCACACCAGUUAACUGGUAUUGGUCAAGUAAAGCACAUGUUACUUUCUGAAAAUUUGAAAUACUACAACGCAAAACCUAUCAAAAGGAUGCAACCAUGUGAUGCAAGAAACGAAAAGGUACAAAGUCCAGACUCACUCUGGAUAAUUGAUUGUCAUUUUUCCCAAGCACGGAUGCAACUUUAGCGAAAUAAUUUUGUGUCAAAAAAGUGAAAACAGAGCACCCUUUCCAAGACCUUAAAGAGCUUCGUUAGCCCACUCACCACUGCAAUACAAACAAUUUAUACAAAAUACUUGACAGCGACAUACAAGCUGCUCAAUAGACAAAUGGCAUUAAAAAACUUACCAGUAGCAUCUGAACUCUGAUGCUGCUUUUUAAGUUCAUCAAUUGUCUCAAGAACCAACUUAUCUGCACCAAAUGCUGAAGUUAUUUGAGGUAAAAGAGUCUUGAGUUGCGCUUCAGAAUCUGGGUAGCUGGUGAAUUUCACCACAAUUGUUUCAAUGUCCUGAUGGGGAUCCUGGGAACUGAUUCAACAAUGGAGUUGCUUUUAUCUCAAGAAACGCAUUGGACAAUGUGAUGAUGGCAACUAAAGUUAAACCCACUGAAGCAUUGGAAAUUGCGUCUGAGGAUAGAAAAGGCAUACCUGCAGAUACUCCUCCCAGACUCUUUGCCUCUAUAUGUGAAAACCCAUCUGGGAACAAACCAAUUCCAUUCUCUGGCAUAGCAAGAACAGUCCUCAGAAAUGUAUCCAUACAAAGUUUGACACACAAAAUUAAAAAAGCCAUUGCAAUGUAAUUGACAACAUUGACAAUCUCUGUCUGACCGGGCAAUAAUGCCUCUGUAAUGAUCCGGUAGCGACUGUGACCUGAUAGGCCAAUACCAAAGCCCACUGUUAUGCCAUCCAUGAAGCUUAUAUGGGCUUCUUGUACUCGGAGAUAUUGCAUAUUAGAGAAUACUCAGCAGUGAAUACCUGAAAAACGUGCAGCACAAAUAUCAUAUCGGUAGCCUCUCAAAUCUUAAGAAAACUACAAAUGGUAGCUUAGAAAAGAAAUGAAUCCUCUCCAACCAAUACAAAUCAUAUUACCCAAGUUCAAGCAAAAUCAAGACUAAACAAAUGACCAGAUGUUGUAGGUUGCCAGAGAAUGUCAAACAUGAAAUUACAAAAGAAAAAAAUAAUCGUAUGUAUUGAACAUUAAUAAAUACAUGCUGAAAGCACAAUCUUAGCCGCAAUUUAUGACAUUUAUACAAGAUUAAAUCGCCAAAGAAAUUAAAGAAAUUGCAGAGCUCAUAUAAGUGAUGUUCACUAUGAACUUUUAGGCUUAUCAACAAAUACACCAUAACGAUUCUAAUGCAUGAAUUUUGUUAAAGGGGGCUUGCUUGCUUGUAUUAAGGCUUAAUCAUCAAUGAUUUUGCAAGGGUCAAUCGUAUUGCUAGUUGUAAAUCUAUUCACUAUGAAAAUUACCAAAAUUACAUCUAAUAUGGUAGUGAAGGAAGUCAUCUUACAUUAUCUGGAAUUUAGAAAACUGUGUAAGGUUAUAAUAUAUGGUUACAAGGACACAAUUAGACCUCAAUCAUAUUCGGUGGUUGGUUUUUGGCCGUGAUCUGCUUCACAUCACCGCCUGCAGGUAAACUAAAUCUGGGUUACUACAUAUCAAUGAAUCAACGUGCCAACUUAACGGACACCAUCUAUCUCUAUAUGGCAAAAAAAACAACACAAAAAGGAACAUGAAGUGAAACAAUAAACAACAUGACAUGAAACAGCACGAACAUCAAAGACCAACAAUCUAUCACGUAAGCACCUAAACAAGAAACAACUUUAGUUCAAAGCAAAGCGUAAUGUAGAAACCUUCGGCACAACAGGUGUGUUUUUGUCCUUUCGAGUUUCGGCAACAACCACUUUAAUAUCCUUUCCUGCAUUUACCAUGAUUGGUCACUCUUAAAACCUUAACUCCGCCGUGUAAGUUUAUCUUACAUUGCCGGUCCCAAGCCCGGAUAAAGGAGGAGGGGGAGGGCGUCAGGUAGUCGACAGCCGGCACUCCAUGAUUACGUCGAAUCCUUACGAAAAUGAAUCCAGAACGAAAUCGCGCUAAAGCUAGGGCGUCACCCGUAAGUGGCGCGCUGUGUGGCCCGAGCACAGUGAUAAGUGAGCAAGGGUCGCUAUAUCUCCAUCGGCACCCGGAUGCAGUGUUAAAUGAGCAAGGGGGCUAUAGAAACUUCUUUUCGAACGACUCCACUCAAAGUUGUUUGGGAGCAUAUGCUCCUAUCAACUUUACACGGGACACACAAAAGAAGUACUUUGAUCCUAUUAGACGGGGAAGGGUGAAGAAGCUAGGACAGAAGGGUAGAGUUCAAGAGAGCAAAAUGCGUUUAGGAACGUGGAAUAUAGGAACCUUGACGGGAAAAUCUAUGGAAGUAGUAGCAGUUAUGGUGAGGAGAAGGAUAAAUAUUAUGUGCCUACAAGAAACUAAGUGGGUUGGGCGUAAGGCAAAGGAUCUAGAAAACUCAGGGUUUAAACUAUGGUAUUCGGGCACAAAUAGAACGAGAAACGGUGUUGGCAUCAUCGUGGACAAGACCUUGACACAAGAUGUUGUAGAUGUUAAGAGGGUAGGAGAUAGAAUCAUGUCAAUCAAGAUUGUAAUAGGACAAGAACUUAUCAAUGUGAUUAGUGCGUACGCACCUCAAGUAGGGUUGGAUACGAGUUCGAAGGAGAAAUUUUGGGAAGACCUUGGAGACUUGGUGCAAGGAAUUGCUCAGACGGAGAAGUUAUUUAUAGGAGGAGAUUUAAAUGGACACGUGGGCAGGGAGACAGACAACUAUGGAGGUUUUUAUGGUGGCCAUGGUUUUGGGGAGAGAAAUGAGGAUGGGGAAGCUAUCUUGAAUUUUGCAAUGGCAUAUGAUCUCUUCUUAGCCAACACCUUCUUUAAGAAGAGAGAAGAACAUGUGAUCACCUACAAGAGUGGGUCGUCAAAAACACAAAUAGAUUUUCUCCUAAUGAGGAAAGGGGAUCGUAUAACUUGUAAGGAUUGCAAAGUUAUACCAGGAGAGAGCGUGGCUAAUCAACAUCGCUUGUUGGUGAUGGAUGUAAAUAUCAAAAGAGUGAGAAAAAAGAACAAGACUUGGAAGUGCCCAAGGACUAGAUGGUGGAAUCUAAAAGAAGAAAAACAAGCCAUUUUCAAAGAGAAAGUAAUCACCCAGUGUGUGUGGGAUAGAGAGGGGGAAGCUAACCAAAUGUGGGAUUCCAUGGCUAGUUGUAUCCGAAAAGUAGCAAAAGAGGUAUUAGGAGAGUCCAAGGGCUUUGCCCCACACCAAAAGGAAUCUUGGUGGUGGAAUGAGGAGGUACAAACAAAGGUGAAGGCUAAGAAGGAAUGUUGUAAAGCCUUAUACAAGGAUAGGACCGAUGAAAAUGGUGAAAGGUAUAGAAAAGCGAAGCAAGAGGCGAAGAAAGCUGUGAGAGAAGCUAAGUUAGCGGCUUAUGACGAUAUGUAUAAGCGACUAGAUACCAAAGAAGGAGAGUUGGAUAUCUAUAAACUAGCUAGAGCAAGGGAAAAGAAAGACAAGGGACCUAAACCAAGUGAGGUGCAUCAAGGAUGAGGAUGGAAAGGUUCUUGCUACAGAGAACGCGGUUAAAGACAGAUGGAAAGGUUAUUUUCAUAAUCUUUUCAAUGAAGGACAUGAAAGGAGUGCUUCUUUAGGGGAGUUGAGUAACUCAGAAGAGUGUAGAAACUACUCUUUUUUAUCGUAGAAUUCGGAAGGAAGAAGUGGUUGUAGCUUUGAAGAAGAUGAAGCAUAGAAAAGCAGUAGACCUAGACGAUAUACCAAUUGAAGUGUGGAAAGUUUUGGGAGAGACAGGUAUAACAUGGCUCACUGACCUUUUCAAUAGGAUUUUGAAAACGAAGAAGAUGCCAAAUGAGUGGCGAACGAGCACUUUGGUGCCUAUCUACAAGAAUAAGGGUGAUGUACAAAAUUGCAUGAACUAUAGGGGUAUUAAGCUAAUGAGUCAUACAAUGAAGCUCUGGGAGAGAGUCAUUGAGCAUAGAUUGAGGCAAGAGACACGGGUUUCGGACAACCAAUUCGGGUUCAUGCCAGGGCGCUCAACCAUGGAGGCAAUCUAUCUCUUACGAAGAUUGAUGGAAAGAUAUAGAGAUGGGAAAAAGGAUUUACACAUGGUCUUUAUAGAUUUGGAAAAAGCGUAUGAUAGGGUCCCAAGAGACAUUCUUUGGAGGAUUUUAGAGAAGAAAGGAGUACGAGUAGCAUAUAUCCAAGCUAUACAGGAUAUGUAUGAAGGAGCAAAGACUGCCGUAAGAACUCAUGAAGGACAAACCGAAAGCUUUCCCAUAACUGUAGGAUUACAUCAAGGCUCAUCCUUAAGUCCUUACCUUUUUGCGUUGGUAAUGGAUGAGUUAACAGGACAUAUUCAAGAUGAUAUUCCUUGGUGUAUGCUUUUCGCAGACGAUAUAGUGUUGAUAGAUGAAACUCAGGAAGGGGUAAAUGCAAAGCUUAACCUUUGGAGAGAAGUGUUGGAAUCUAAAGGUCUUCGCCUAAGCCGAUCAAAGACAGAAUAUAUGGAGUGCAAGUUCAGUGCAAAUGGAGGCCAAAACGAGUUAGGGGUGAGGAUCGGAGAUCAAGAAAUACCAAAGAGCGACCGUUUUCGUUACCUAGGAUCUAUCUUGCAAAAGAACGGAGAAUUAGAUGGAGAUCUCAACCAUAGAAUACAAGCUGGAUGGAUGAAGUGGAAGAGAGUGCAUCCGGCGUAUUGUGUGACCGCCGUAUGCCACUGAAGCUCAAGGGAAAAUUUUAUAGGAACGGCAAUAAGGCCGGCGAUGCUGUAUGGCACAGAAUGUUGGGCGGUGAAGCAUCAACACGUACACAAAAUGGGUGUAGCGGAGAUGAGGAUGCUUCGUUGGAUGUGUGGGCACACGAAGAAAGGAUAAGAUUAUGGAAUGAGGAUAUCCGGGGUAAAGUAGGAGUAGCCGAAAUUGAAGGAAAGAUGAGAGAAAAUCGGUUACGGUGGUUUGGACAUGUGCAAAGAAGGCCUACUGACGCUCCGAUUAGAAGAUGCGACUAUGGGACAGAGGUUCAGGGCCGAAGGGGUAGAGGAAGACCUAGGAAAACUUUGGAAGAGACCCUAAGAAAAGACUUAGAGUACUUGGAUCUAACGGAGGACAUGACACAGGACAGAACACAAUGGCGUUCUAAGAUUCAUAUAGCCGAUCCCACUCAGUGACUUGGAUUUUCCAAGUCUCCAACCGAGAAGUUUUCCUCACUCGGGAAAUUAAGGGAACACUACCUCAACCUACAUGCUCCACUCACAAAGCUUCAACAAAAGAAAAAUUCAAAGAACUUAGCGAAGAAGGCUUUUGGUGUAUUUAACACAAUACGUUGAAAUGAAGGAAAGCUUAUUUAUUGAUAUCCCCGAUAAGUUACAAAUAUGUACAUAUACUUGAGUCAAAAUAAACAAACAAGAGGGAGCCUUCACAAAGGUUGCUUAGGAGAAGUCUCAGCAGUCGGUAGAGCCCCAGAAAGAGAAGGCACCGGAGGGGGAUCAUUCGGAGCCUCAGUACUGGACAGAACCCUAGAAGGAGGAGGCAUCAGAGGUUGAUCAUUUGGAGCUUCAUUACGCGGUACAGCCCCAGAAGACGAAGGCAAUAAAUGCCUUUGGAACAAACCCACAAAUCUCUGAUGAUCAAGUAAAACCUGACCAUCAGAUUCCUUCAUCUGGUCAAGCUUCCUCUUCAUGUUUGUAGCAUAGUCAUGUGCGAGCCGGUGCAACUGUUUAUUCUCAUGCUUGAGCCCUCUAAUCUCCUGUUUGAGACUCAUCACUUCAGCCGCCAAUGAUUCAACUUGGCGGGUUCGAGCAAAUAGGCGUUGGGCCAUAUUAGACACAGAACCUGCACACUGAACACUGAAGAGCCAGAGAAUCCUUAACAGCCAACUCAUCAGACCGUUUGGAAAGUAGUCUGUUAUCUUUGGGAGUGAGAAGGUUCCUAGGCCACUACCGCAGCGGUCAUAUCAUUCUUCAUCACGGAAUCCCCAACGGUAAGAGGACCAGUAGGGGAGACGAAGGAUGGGCGCCAUAUGUUGUCUGAAGAAGGCGGGGCUGCCUCUUCAACAAGGUUCAAGUCAAAACGACGGUCGGAGGGGCCAGACAUUUUCAAAGGUGUUGAAGAGAGAAGAGGUCGGACAAAUCAAGAUCUUAGAAGUGCAAGAAUGGAGCUUCUACUGGUGGAUAUUCAAGUGUGCUUUGGAACUUAAUGUCAGCCCCUAUAAAAAAUCUGCACUCGACGAAGCUUCAGAAAUCGAAGAGGCGCCUGCUCAGAAAUCGAAGAGGCGUUUGCUUUCUCAAAAGCUGGGCUGCUCAGAGACCACGAGGGUUUGAUCUCAGAAAUCGAAGAGGCGUUUGCUUUCUCAAAAGCUGGGCUGCUCAAAGACCACGAAGGCCGAUCUCAGAAAUCGAAGAGGCUUGCUUUCUCAAAAGCUGGGCUGCUCAGAGACCACGAGGGCCGAUCUUAGAAAUCGAAGAGGCACCUACUUUUCCAGCCUUGUCAGCACCUGUCACACGCACACUCAGCUUUGCGGAAAUUAUGGGCAUUCUGUCGAAGAUUUCUGGUGAAGUAGAAAGCACAUGAAUCGUACUGUUCAAUCACCCACUUCCCACACGCAACAGUAGCUCAUGGGUACCACAGAUAACUUUGCCAAAGUUCUCUGACAAAGUUGAGACACGUGAAGCUUGCAGCUCCCACUACAUCGCUCUGACCAAGAAGGGUAAAAGAAUAGCAAAGAAACAACACUAACAAAGUUUAGACACAUAAAUUUUGAAGGUCUAGCUACCAUAUUAUUACCCACAAGGGUAAAGGAACAGUACCACUGCUGGAUAAUUGGAAAGUCCCGGUGUGUCAACCUCUGUGCUUCGUGGCAAGGUAGACUAGCAAACAUGCCCAACCUUUACUCACAUUCGAGAAAACACUCCCAACAAGAUUGCUUGCUCCAAAAUCGAAGAGGCACCCGCUCCUCCGAAUCUCGAGAGCCAGACUCCCAACAUGAUUACUUUCUCAAAAAUCGAAGAGACAUCCGCUCUCCGAAUCUCGAGAGCCAGACCUCCAGCAGGAUUGCUUUCUCAAAAAUCGAAAAGGCAUCGUUCUCCGAAUCUCAAGAGCUGGAUCCCUGACAGGAUUGCUUGUUCGAAAACCAAAGAGGCACCACUUUCCCAACUUCAAGAGCUGGAUCUCCUUGGAUAAAGCUUGUCUGUAAUCUUCACACACGCAACAUCAGCUUUUCCAGAUACCACAGACCCACUUUUUCAAAGUGCUCUGACAGAGUUAAAACUUGUGAAGCUGGCAGCUCCCACUACCGUGCUAUGACCAAGCAGGGUAAAGGAAUAGCAUUAUUACUUGAUGUUAGGGAGACUCCUAUAUAUGUCGACCUCCAUCCCCAACGGACAGGCAGACCUGCAAAAAUGCUCAACCCUUCCUCUUAUCUGAGAGGGCACUCCCAACGAAGCCUUUCGAAAUAUUCAGCUUUCUUUCCCCCCGAUAAUACCUCUGUAAACAAGCUAUACUAGAGCAAGAAUAUCUCAUAUCAUCAGGGUUAAAAGCAAGAGUAUCCCAUAUCAUGCUUUUUUCCCGUCUUUUCCUUUGGCCUUGUUCUUACCUGCAAGACAAGGAGAAAGAGAGCAAUCAGUCAGCACUUGGAAUCAAGCUUCCAGCCAGGAACUGACUGCCUGGAACCCCUUACCUGAUUACUUACCUGGCAUUGCUCUCGAGUACUCAUCUUCAACAUCUUAUGCUUCCAGGGAAGAUACCGCAAUCGCCUGAAGAACAGAUAGGGCAAGUGAGAAGGAUACAAGGAAGCAUGUGGAGACAAGCGUAACAGCACACGUGCCGAUACAUCCACUACUCUGUCAAAAGCAAAAGUAUCUCAUAUCAGCAGGGUCGAACGUACUCUAGAUUUGAUGGACUUGUUUUGACCCUCAAAUUCUUCAGUCGGCCUUAUACUCUGGAGGAAACCAGAAAACCCUCCAGCCCAGUUCAAGAAUAAGCCUGUGGAAAGUUACUUCUUCAAAAGCAAAAAGUAUCCCAUAUCAUCUCUUCUCAUUUUUCUUCUCUUUAUCCUUCAUGCUGCAUGCAAGAUAGGGAGAAUGUGAACAAUCAGCCGGAGCUCUGAUUGCUUACCUUGUCUGUCAUCUCUUUCAGCAGAUCCCCUAGCUCGGCGACUUAGGGGACUCCUACUACAUGGUUUGUAUCGCGCUUGACCAAGCCUGAAACUACAAGUAAGCUUCAAGUGACAAUUGAUACAUUACCUUGUGCAUCUCCACCAGUUACAGAUACCACCCCUGGAUGGAGGAAGAGUACUUCCAGAGAAGAUGCCACAUCUACCUAUGAGACAGAUAAGGAAAGUCAAGACGAUACCACACUCCGGUACUUAGAAGUUUCGUGGUUACGAGAUCAUUCUCCCACAAUAUUUCCUAAUGUCAUUUGUACUAAAUCAUUCACUUGUACUCACUAAAGGAGAGCUUGAACCUAUGUACUUGUGUAAACCCUUCACAAUUAAUGAGAACUCCUCUAUUCCGUGGACGUAGCCAAUCUGGGUGAACCACGUACAUCUUGUGUUUGCUUUCCUAUCUCUAUCCAUUUAUAUACUUAUCCACACUAAUGACCGGAGCAAUCUAGCGAAGAUCACAAAAAGUGACCGUUUUCGCUACCUAGGAUCUAUCCUUGCAAGAGAACGGAGAAUUAGAUGGAGAUCUCAACCAUAGAAUACAAGCUGGAUGGAUGAAGUGUAAGAGUGCAUCCGGCGUGUUGUGUGACCGUCGUAGGCCACUGAAGCUCAAGGGAAAAUUUUAUUUUAUAGGACGGCAAUAAGGCCAGCGAUGUUGUAUGGCACAGAAUGUUGGGCGGUGAAGCAUCAACACGUACACAAAAUGGGUGUAGCGGAGAUAAGGAUGCUUCGUGGGAUGUAUGGGCACACGAGAAAGGAUAAGAUUGGGAAUGAGGAUAUCCGAGGUAAAGUAGGAGUAGCCAAAAUUGAAGGAAAUAUGAGAGAAAAUCGGUUCCAGUGGUUUGGACAUGUGCAAAGAAGGCCUACUGACGCUCCGGUUCGAAAAUGUGACUACGGGACAGAGGUUCAGGGCCGAAGGGGUAGAGGAAGACCUAGGAAAACUUUGGAAGAGACCCUAAGAAAAGACUUGAGUACUUGGAUCUAACGGAGGACAUGACACAAAACCGAGCGCAAUGGCGUUCUAGGAUUCAUAUAGCCGACCCCACUUAGUGGGAAAAGGCUUUGUUGUUGUUGUUGUUGUUGUGGUCACUCUUAAAACCUUACCUAAGAGACCCAAAAACAAAAAUAACCGCCGAAAGAGCUAAACAUACAUAUAUAGAAAAACUUAAUUAACUGCAUGCUAAAAUGGAAGUGUAAAAUUGCCAAGAAAGAUAAGAAACUAUUUAAAUACGAAUUCUGGGCAUUACCGCCACAAAAGGCAUGAGCCGAACAGCUAUCAACAAGAACACACUUCCCAUUCAUCCAGAUAGCCCUUGUAUUUCACAUCCAUAUCUGCAUUUUCCAACAAUUCCCACUUAAACAGAAACACAAAAUUCAUCGAAAAAAUGCUAACUUCUUCGAAAUUUGAAUCCAACGUUUCGUCUUAUAACAAAUGCAAUAACAUAGAUUUGUAAUCAAUUCGAUGCCAUAAAGUUCAAGCUCAAAAUUUCAAAUCAGCUCCAAAUCAAAAGCAUUUACAGAUACAUACAUAUAUACAUAUGCGUGUGUGUGUUUAUCUACAUACCCAGGUUCAUGGCGUUGAGAGCUCGGCAGGCGACGGAGGGUGAUGACGGCGACGCCAAUUGGGUGGACGCUGCCCUUCGAAUUGGGUCGCUCCUCGCAAUAAGCUUCCCAUUACUUCCGUUUGAGAGUGACUGUCAGUGUAGAGAGAGGGAUUUUUUUUUUGUGCUUCUGGACCGGACUACACUUGAUGUUUCGGUUAUAUUACCGGGAAAAAGAACUGCCGCGGUGGCUACGCAGGGAAACUUGAAAUUUGAAAGAAGUAUGAAGUAUGGACUUGCCUUCAUUUAUUGAACUGAGAAAUCGAAAUCUGAAAGAGGCGUUUGACGAAGUGAUUGUGAUCUGACUCAAACAUGUGAUGAUGACGAUGCAUCACCACCUUGGUUGUGCCUCUGGAUCAAAAACAUACCAUCACCAUCAAAAUCGUGCAUAUUUUCCUUCAUAGGUUUGUCCCAUACUAGAUUAACCCCUAUUCCCUUAAUUAUUGCAUAAUAAGAAUUAUAGCAUGUCUCUGGCAUUCCAACGGCUAUAUCAACUUUAUCCCCGCUUUGCAAAUUGAACUUAUCGUUGGACAUUUGUCCCUGCCAAAGAAAACAUUUUUCAGGUAAACCAUCGUGCAUUUUUAUAACCCAAUCUUCCUUGCCUAUGCAGGUUUGCAACUCAGUACGCUUGGUAUUAUUUAUAUCAAUACUGCCACGAGGAUGACAAUAUUUAAAGCUCAUAGAAGGGCUUGAGGGACAAGUUAAGUGAUAAAAGCAUAACAGAGUCAACCCUUCAAAAUUACGACCAUCACUUGGGGGGUAUCAAAACUGACUUUAUCACCAUCGUUGACAAACUCGAACCAAUCAGGAACAUAAUUCGCAUCGAGAAAAAUGCCAGCAUAUCCGUAAGAAGUCCAUCCCUAUAUAUACAGUGCAAGUGUCAUAUACAUACAUACAUACAUACAUACAUACAUAUAUGUAAAUGUGCAUUGUGUGUGCAUGUGCGCAAUAGGAAGACAAUUAAAGAGAGAGAUACCUUUAGGACCUUCCUCCUAAAAUCAGCUGUGAGAUUGGUGCACUUUUGCAUUACAAUCCAUUUCAUGGAGUUUAAUGACUUAUCCAAGUCCGGAAUCUCUGUGAGUGCGUGUGAACCAGUUACAUUCAGUUCUCUCAUAUUUGACAUUUUCGAAAAAUUGGGCAUUUUUACCAAACAACAGCAACCAUAAGCAUCCAGAAAUUUCAAAUUUGUUGGUAAAUCAUAGAUUGUAUGAAGCUGGGAACAAUAACUUAACCACAUACCUUCAAGCUUUGAAAGACCAUUGAGGCUGGGUAGGGUGUGUAAGAUACUGCAGUGACUUAACUCCAGAGUUUUAAGAUUUGAAAGACCAUUGAGGCUGGGUAGGGUGUGUAAGUUACUGCUGUGACUUAAUUCCAGAGUUUCAAGAUUUGAAAGACCAUUGAGGCAGGGAAGGGUGUGUAAGUUACCACAGUGAUUUAACCACAUAGUUUUAAGAUUUGAAAGACCAUUGAGGCUGGGUAGGGUGUGUAAGUUACUGCAGUGACUUAACCACAGAGUUUUAAGAUUUGAAAGAUCAUUGAGGCUGGGUAGGAUGUGUAAGUUACUGCAGUGACUUAACCCUAGAGUUUUAAGAUUUGAAAGACCAUUGAGGCUGGGUAGGAUGUGUAAGUUACUGCAGUGACUUAACUCCAGGGUUUUAAGAUUUGAAAGACCAUUGAGGCUAGGUAGGGUGUGUAAGUUACUGCAGUGACUUAACCAUAGAGUUUUAAGAUUUGAAAGACAAUUAAGGCUGGGUAGGGUGUGUAAGUUACUGCAUUGACUUAACCCCAGAGUUUUAAGAUUUGAAAGACCAUUGAGGCUGGGUAGGGUGUGUAAGUUACUGCAGUGACUUAACUCCAUACCUUCAAGCUUUGAAAGACCAUUGAGGCUGGGUAGGGUGUGUAAGUUACUGCAGUGACUUAACUCCAGAGUUUCAAGAUUUGAAAGACCAUUAAGGCUGGGUAGGGUGUGUAAGUUACUGCAGUGACUUAACUCCAGGGUUUUAAGCUUUGAAAGACCAUUGAGGCUGGGUAAGGUGUGUAAGUUACUGCAGUGACUUAACCACAGAGUUUUAAGAUUUGAAAGACCAUUGAGGCUGGGUAGGGUGUGUAAGUUACUGCAUUGACUUAACCCCAGAAUUUUAAGAUUUGAAAGACCAUUGAGGCUGGGUAGGAUGUGUAAGUUACUGCAGUGACUUAACUCCAAAGUUUUAAGCUUUGAAAGACCAUUGAGGCUGGGUAGGGUGUGUAAGUUACUGCAGUGACUUAACUCCAGAGUUUUAAGCUUUGAAAGACCAUUGAGGCUGGGUAGGGAGUGUAAGUUACUGCAGCGACUUAACCCCAGAGUUUUAAGCUUUGAAAGACCAUUGAGGCUGGGUAGGGUGUGUAAGUUACUGCAAUGACUUAACCCCAGAGUUUUAAGAUUUGAAAGACCAUUGAGGCUGGGUAAGGUGUAUAAGUUACUGCAGUGAUUUAACUCCAGAGUUUUAAGUUGUGAAAGACCACUCAGGCCGGGUAGGGUAUGAAGGUUACAGCAGUUACUUAACUGCAAAUUUUCAAGUUUUGAAAGACCACAUAGGCUGGGUAGGGUAUGAAAAUAAUGUUUUGAGAGAUCUAAAUUUCCGUCUAACGAAUUGGGAAACUGCAAAGUAAACUUCGAUUCCACAGACGCUAGAGAUAAAUGAGUGAGAUUCUUCAAUCUUACUAUGGAACAGGGUACUUGUCUUAUGGCUGUGGAAGAUGCUAUAAGUACUCUCAAUGAUGUCAUCUUCCCUAAAUCCUCGGGCAGUUCACUGAAUUGCUGACAUCCAUUAAGAACAAGAGUCUGAACGGAUUUGGACUUGUAGAAAUCCCCAGGAAGAGAAAUAAGAUUCUGGCAGCCUGUGAGGUUCACCAAAGAAAGUUUUUUAAGAUGACAAAUGGAGGGGUGAAUCUCGGACAAACUGUUACACCAUUCCAAUAUCAACUCUUCAAGAUUUAGGAGAUUUGAAAAGUCUGGUGAUUUUUUUAAGUCAAGGCAAUAACUGAGAUUAAGGAUUUUCAAGUUUCCAAGCGACUGUUGCACAAAAUCAAAGGAAAAUUAAAAUUAAUAUCCAAAAACAAAUGGAAACAUAACAUCAUCAUGUGUAAUCGAUUGUACCUUGGAGCCCUCCCAAACUUGUACAAGUCUGCUAUACGCUAUCUCUAAAAUAACCAGUGCUCUUGGUUGAUCAAAGAAGUGAUCUGGUAUGGACUUUAAAGGGCAUCCAAACCAACGCAACCAUAUUAACUCUUUGGAAAGAUGUUUGUAUUCUCCAUUGAGCUGCACGUUGUAGAGCUGCAGCAGUCUCAGUUUCUUCAUAUUGGCAAAUGCUUCUGUACUGAAGCUUCGAAGCCUUUGCAGCCAAUGAUCUCCAGAAAAAUUAAGAGCAAGUCCUUUAACUUCUUCAGUUCCCUGUUAACAAAAGGUUAUAUUCAUGUGUAAGAAACGGAAUAUUUGCAUAUGUUUACAUGUAUGAAUACAUGCAAGUACUAUUGUUGGCUAAUUGAGAUGAUGUUACUUAAUGUAUAAUACACAUCCGUGAGUUAUAUGUGCUUUUCAUGUACGAUGCAUCAAUUCAGAAUUUUAUUGGGACUAUACUUACAAAUUUAUCUCUCAAUACAUCAAUGACCUCUUGCUGGUUCCACAACCUACUCCAUUCUCCAGGGUGACGAGGGGAUUUUUCAGAAAUGAUUAAUUUGGCCAUUUCUUGAAGCAAAUCAUGCAUAUUCAACUUCUUGUGUUCAAUAGUGAUAAGGCAUCGUUCACAGAGGACAUUGAUUCCUAUUGUUGCAAAAAACUUACAUCCAUCUAAUAUUUUUGCGACAUAGUCCUUAUCCCAUCCAAUAAAGAAACAAGAUAUGUCAAGGAAUAUAUCCUUUUGUGUAGGAUCUAGCCUUUCAAAGCUUACUCUUAGUGGUUUCAUUAUUCCUUCAUCAGGAAAUUUUUUCAAUUUCUCCAACUGACUUUUCUACUCUGUUGGUGUUCUUUCAAUCAUAAAAGAAGAACCUAAAACUGCAAGGGCUAGUGGCAAACCACCACAGUAAGAAACAACCUCUUUUGAGAGUUCAAGAUAUCCUUCAUUAGGCCAACUCUUUCCAAAGGCAUGCCAACUAAAGAGCUUCAGAGCUUCUUCUUCAUUCAUUUCCUUAAGUGAAUAUGUCUUGUCCACUUUCAUGUUCACUUGCUUUAGAAAACGUUCAUCUCGUGUCGUUAUGAUAAUUCUACUUCCUGGGCCAAACCAAUCACGAUUUCCAGCUAUUGCAUCUAGUUGUUCCACUUUGUCUACAUUGUCAAUAAUGACAAGCACGCUUCUACGUUGGAGAUGAUUUUUUAUCAGACUGAUACCUCUAUCAACACUGGUUAUCUUAGACUCGGUAUGUUUCAAGAUGUCAGAAACAAGUCUUCCUUGCAAAUCAACCAGAUCACAUUCACUAACGUUGGCAAGGAAACUUUUGAAUUGGAACUUAUGAUGAAGUUGGUUAUAAAUGGCUUUGGCAGCUGUUGUUUUACCCAAUCCACCAAUCCCCCAAAUUCCAACCAUGCGAACAACAUAUGAUCCACCAUUUGAAAGAUAAGUGAUGAUAUCUUGAAUGCGAGUAUAUAUUCCAACUGGGUGCUUGGCCAAAUGUAAAUUUUCUGCGCUCGGAAGCCAUUUUGGGAUAAUCUUGUCAACAAUUUCUCUAAUAAGCUUUGCUUCGCGCCUGAAAAAUUGAAUUGGUAAGCUUAGUAAGUAGGCUCAGUAGGAGCUAUUAGUACUAAUAUAAACAAUUUUCUUUCCUUCUUUCCUUCGUGUGUGUGUGUGUGUGUGUACAUAUAUGUACACAAACUAGCUACUAGCUAGUACGUGAUUUUGUGACCAACUUCAAUAAAAGAAACAAGUUCAUUCAUUGAUAUAUUAAAGUUUGGUGCAUCAAUUAAACUCCAAUUAUGGUUUAGAUUUUAGAGGAAAUUAGAGAAAUGGUCCUUGAACUAUGAUCAAAUUGUGGCCUUGGUUCUUAAAACUAAAAAUUCAAUAAAUCUCCUCCCUGAACUUAACAAAAUAUGAAGCAUUGGUCCCUAAAUGUUAACACCGUAUGAUUUUCUGUUAAUUUGAUUAUGUCGUCUUUGUGGGCUCCAUAUUAUUGUUUACUAGAUGGCACGUGGCUUGAAAAGUCAAAAUAAAAGAAAAUAAAUACAAACAUAGAGAAAGAAAGAGAGAGAAAAAAAAACUUUAAAUUAUAAAAGUUAACUCUCUCUCCCAUCCUCCCUUCCGCCUCACCUCCUCCAAACCCCAACCACACCAUUGUAGCACUUUCCCAACAGCCAAAACAAAAGAAAGUUUCUAAUCCAAUUUUGGAACACGUCUCCGUUUGCAAACGAAUUCACAAUGACAUCCAUUCACGCUGUCUCGACAGGUAAGAUUCAAGAAAUUUGUGGGAUGCGGGUUCGGGGUUCGGGUGAAGGCUGUGGUCCGUGGGCUACAGUUUGGAGUCGGCUGGAGAGUGGGAUUAGGGAUUGGGGGUUGGAAGUGGGAGGUUGACGGGGUGUGAAUCAAAGAUUGAAGGUGAAGGGGUGGCUGCGAGUGUUGGUGGGAUGAGGUAGGUGAAACUAACAUGUAAAGUUGUAAACCCUUUUAACUAAAAUUUAAAGGAAUUGGUUACGAAGGACUAACGCUCCAUAUUUUAUCAAGUUCAAGGGCAAAAUGUAAUGAAUUUUUAGUUUAGGAACCACAGCUACAAUUUUCCUCUAGAUUUUAUAUGAGAGAUUAAGGCGUAUUAAUUAAGCAUGAUAAUUAGAGUAAUACAACUUAAAUACUGAAAGCACAUGAAUGAUUACCUAUUAUCAGUGAUUUGAAGAUGGUAGCCAGACAAAUUUGCAGCUUUUGUAAGAACCUCUCCCCACUGCUUUACCUCUUCUUGUUUAGCUUCACGUUUCUUGUCAUCCUUUUCUUCACCGACGCCUUCUUCGUGCUUUUGAAAUUCUUCGGCUGACUUUGCAGCUUCUGUAAGAGCCUUUAUCCACUGCUCUACCCUUUCUCGUUUUUCUUCACGUUUCUUGUCAUCUUUUUCUUCACUGAUGUCAUUUUUGUGCUUCUGAAAUGCUUGGGCUAAAACUCCGUUCUGCUUCCUGACAUGUGAAGGAUCAAUGUGAUAGAAUAUUGGCAAAACAUGUCGCCCCAGUUUGUCUCUGCACUCCAUGAUCUUCACCAGCUCGUUAAGACACCAACUCGAAUCCGCAUACCUCUCUGAGAAGACAAUGAUAGAGGUCUUCGAUUCUUCGAUUGCCUGGAGCAGUUCUUUUGGUAUUUCUUCCCCUCUUUUGAGAUCGUCCUCAUCAAUAUAAGCCUGGUAUCCCCUGUCUGUUAAUGCCGCGUGGAGGUGGCCCGUGAAGCCAUUGCGUGUGUCUACACCGCUAAAGCUCAAGAACACGUCGUAAUUCCAAAGUUUUGACUUGGAGGAGGAUGAAGAGGAGGCUUCGUGGGUUGUCAUGGCGGUAUCCACCGUUAUGGCACUGCAGUGGUUCAGAUCACGACUGAAGAAUGGUAGUAGUUGUGUUCGUGCAUUCAAACGGAUGAUCCUGAAAUACCUAAACGCAAGUCAAGCUCCUUCAGUCAACAAGAACAAAGUUUAUAAUAUAAUAAUUUUGGCGUAUGGACUUGAGAAACGACAUAGUGUUGGCCGGAAGGUGCAGAAAAAGAGAGAGGAAAAAAGAAAAGAAAGGAACGAAAGGACAAAGACCAUCCAAAAGAUUCUUGGCUGUGAUUACAGCUAUUCAUAGGAGAAACAACGGACAUAUUUUCAUAGGAGAAACAACCUUCCCAUCUUCAUAUAUAAUGCAUUUCAACGGACAUAUUUUAAUAGGAGAAACAACUUUAGUUUGUACUAGAAAUUUUUACCCGCACGUUGAUGCGGCAUUUGAAAUUGUAUGAAAGAUUAUCUUUGAAAUAUAUAAUAGAUUGUGUGAUUGAAGAUUAAUACUAUUUACAUUGAAAACGUUGGAAAAAGUUUUACAUAUAAAAGAUUUUAUGAUACAAUCCACGUAUAAAAGAUGGUAAAUUUUGUUCUAUCUACAUGCAUUAUGUUAUGGAAUGAUAUAUAUAUAUAUAUAACUAAGUUCCAGAAUAUGUAAACUUCAUAACUUGGAAAUUUUUUGACAAAUUAAUCAGAUUCAACUGUGGGUUAGCAAGGUCGCCUAUAAAGUUUGAAGUCGUAGAAGCAUAAAGGACAAAUAACAAAUGAGUUUUGAGAAAUUAUUCCACAAAUGUCAUUCUGCAAAAUGUAUUAAAGACGAUUGGUAUAAGAUUAGCAAUCAUGAGUAGUGUAACAACAUCAACAAAAUAACCAUAAACCAUAACAUAAUUCAAAUUUUGUUUGCAAAAACAAAAGAAAAAGAAAAGAGACUUACAAUAAUUCAACCUUCAAUCUUGAAGUCCAGCUCAAAGAGCCAAACCUAAAUGCAAGCUUUCUGAAAUUUCCCAAACAAUACAGAUAAAACGGUAACACCCUAGUCAGAAAUGAACCAAGGUGCGAGCUUUCUAAGAAACCCAGAUGACAAAAUCAACAAAAUAGAAUGGAAAAAUGACUUACACUUUGAAGGCAUGCUCGAACCUUGAUCUAAAAUUGGUGGUGGGUCGAUUGUUGGUCACCAACUCUAAAUGAAGAAUUCAUCAGAACCUAGAAAUUUAAAACAAAGAAUUUUCCAAAAUCAACAUUUACUAAAAACCAGUUGCUUGGUUAUCAUGCAUGAUGGCUUGACAAAGACUGAAUUAAGGAAUGCAAACUUUACUUUCAUGAUUAUUUUUAAUGACAGCUAAAAGGUCAGAUCCAAAUGAAAAUAAAAGUUAGGACUUCACAAAACCAAUUAAAAAUCUAAUUCUAAAGUUAUAAGCACCCACAAAAUGAUUCCAGAUAAAGUUUUACACUCAAGGUCAAACCCAAAUGAAAUUAAAAGUUAGGACUUCACAAAACCAAUUGAAAAUCUGAUUCCAAAGUUCCAAACACCCACCAAAUGAUUCCAGAUAAAGUUUAAACUCAAAAACCCAAUAGAAACAAAAGCACUGGUAUAAAUUAACUGUAUCUAAUUGAAGAAACUAAAACAAAAGUAAAGCAAAGUAUAUACCUCAAAAUGUCAAGCAACUAAGUUCUUCCUCCGACGACCCAAAACUCUGAAAAUUCCACACAAAAAAAAAGGCAAAUCCAUUAGCAAUUCAUAGCUUUCAAAAUUAGCAAAAACUUGGGCAACAAUAAAGAUGUGUCUAGAACCAUCAAUCUUUCUCCUUAUGCAUUUGAAAAGAUAUGUUAUAAGCAGUUUAUGUAGUCAUUCUGAACAUGUUGCAUAUAAAUUCCUUUUCUACAGGGUUCAAAAAAAUAUGGCAGUUUAUGGAAUCUGUUGAAUGACAUAGUUGAAAGAUUUAAAAUUGAUACAUUCAAUUUUUAUGUGUAAAACUAUAACAUAUAGCUAAAGCUAUUGGGUCCAUAUCAGUCAUGUCGUAAUUGAAUGUUUAUCGAUGUAAAUAGAUGAUUUCAGUCAUGGGAUAACAUGUUUCUUGAUAGUAUACGCUGAAGUUUGGUCUAAGUUGGAUAUAAAUCGACCAAAAUCUUAAUAAGAGACUUUUUUAACUUUUAACCAAAAAAUGAGCACCACAAUACUACACUUAUAAGUUUUAUCAUGCACAAAAUACACAGCACUGAUUGCCACUUUUAGAGCAAGAACAAUACUUUACCAAAAGAAAACAACAAAACACCCAAAACCCAGAAACAUAAACACACUUAGGACUCAAACUCCUCAAAAACAUGAGAAAGAGAGAGAGUGUGUGAGGAGAAAGAAUAAAAAAAAAAAUUAUUUUUCACACAAACUCAAAAUUGCUUAUAAAAUUACAAAUGAAUGCAAAUCCAAAAUUGCCCUAAAUUAAAUCUGAUUAGUUAAAUGUUUGUUGCCCCAGAAAUUUCGUUACACCUCACAAAACUUGCUUUGAAGUUGAUAUUUUGGUCAAUCCAGGGGAAAAGGAGUUAUUGGUUUUGGAGCAGUUGUCAUGGAGAAUACCAUCUCCCUGUAGAAUGAUCUAAAAAAGGACUUACAGCUUAUGGUGGCCAUAAUAAUUUAGGAGGCCCUUCUCUCCAAAUUUUCUCAAUAACUUUCCUUUUCGUA